ensembl:snRNA U6 U6 spliceosomal RNA
GUGCUCGCUUUGGCAGCACAUAUUACUAAAAUUGGAACACUACAGAGAUGAGCAUGGCCCCAGUGCAAGGAUGACAUGCAAAUUCAUGAAGCGUUCCAUAUUUAA